rnacentral:lncRNA from 1 species
CCUGCCUCAGACUCAGAAGUCCAGGUCCACAGGGGACCGGGGAGGCCGAGCCCCCAGCCCCCUCCCUCAGAGCCGGGAGUCCAGCCAGGCCUGCCUCCCUGGGGAAGGCCCAGCCUGGCUUCCCCGGCUCUGGGUCAGAGGGAACCUCACUUGUUUGGGAGUUUGGCUCCCUACCUACCUGUCAGGUUCGGAAAUCCAGGACCUGGGUGGAGGCCGCCCAGGGGAGACAAAACCUUUAGAGCCUUCCUGGGUCAUGACCCCUUCCUUCUCCUCCCUUCUUUCGGCCUCUCACCAGUGGCAGCCCUGAUGGCUACCAUCCCAUCCCAGGCCUCUGGCAUCUCGCAGGCAGGAGCGCCAGGGGCCGCUAGCACCCCCAUUUUGCAGCUAGGAAGGCUGAGCCCCCCGGGGCAGCCGCGGAGUGGGAGGGGCCGGGCCUGCAGAGCGGCAGCCGGUCCCCUACCCCACCCGGGGCUGGGUCGAUGCACCUGAGAGCCUCCGCCUCAGUCCAGCGCUCCAGCUCCAUCUUUCUGCUUCUCUGCCCGGCCUGCUGUCUCUUCCUGCGGCCGCUCCAAGCUCCUCCAGCCUCGGUGAGCCGGUCCCCGGCUCUGCCCUGCCCAUCGGCGCCCUCCGCUCGGCCUCCUCCUGAGCGCUGCCUUUCCCAGUCCACCCCUCUCUCCUCUCCCCCAUCUCCUGGUUUCCUCUCCUCUCUCUUCUCUCCUUCUUUUCCUCUCCCUUCCGCCGCCAGCGGCACCUCCAAAGCCAGACUCUCUCCCUCCACCUUCCCUGAGGGCGCAGGAGGGCAUCUAGCCUUAGUCGCCAGCUCCGAACCGAGCUACCCCAGCCCCACCUCUCUCCUCCCAGUGGAACCCAGGAGGUGUUCCCUGCCCGCUCCUCCUCCUGGACCCCGGAAUCCAGGCCCACAGUCCCCUCCUCCCAGGAUUCUGGAGUCUGGGUUCCCAACCCCCUCCUCCGAGAACCCAGCAAUCCAGGGCCCGGGCUGCCUCCUCCCCUAGGGACCCCGGAGUCCGGGCCCCGGGUCCCAUCCCGCUCCCUCUCCGCAGACUCACGGCUCCGCCGCUCCCGCGUCGAGGGGAAGGGGUCUCGGUGGGCAGCCCCCCGGGCCGGGCUGAGCCGGGCCCCGCCGCCGCCGCUG